ACGUGUUCAUAUCUGCUGAUCAGACGCUGGCUGUCAUAUGACACCUGCUUGAUAAUUUAUGGUCUCUUUUAAACUUUUACAUCUUUAGAAUGAAUGCUUCCUCAACAAUUCUUGUUCUGGGCCUGGCCGUUCUCCUGGGUUAUCUCUUCCAUACCCCCGUACCGCAAGGCAUGGUAGAUCAAUGGCAUUACAGAUUUAUGAUUGCUGGAAUAAAGGCAGGAGCGCUCAUUGCGACUUUGCGAACUUAUGUAAACCCUGGUGAUGAGGGAGCCUACUACCGAACCUUUAGCUACUUAUAUGGAGUGCUUUUAAAGGCCCCGGACUCGAAGAUUCAGGGUUCGAACGUCGAAGCACACUACACUAAAUUUGACGGGGUUCGGGUCUUGAUCUACACGCCUCUUACUGAAAGAAGAGACCUUUCCCCCGGACUGAUCUAUUACCAUGGAGGAGGAUUCGGAUUUGGAUCUACAAAGACCGCCGGUCCGAUUACAAGAUAUCUCGCCGAGCAACUUGAUAUGGUGGUAGUAUCUGUCGACUAUCGCCUUGCACCAGAACACCCUUUUCCAGCUGCGGUAGAAGACAGCUUCACAGCAACAAAAUGGUUUCUUAAUCAUGCUCAUGAAUAUGGUGUCAACGCCAACCGCGUGGUCUUAAGCGGCGAUAGCGCUGGUGGUUUUCUAACAGCUGUCAUCAGCCAACUCGUCUUCGAUGAUCAAUCUAUACCCGACAUCAAGGUCCAAGUUCUUUUUUAUCCAUGGACACAGUGCUUUGACUUCAACACGCCGUCUUACCAGAAAUACGUGGUCAAUUAUGGGGAUUCUGGUUUGGUGGCGAAGCCUCGAAUGGCUGAAUUUCUCUCCGCUUAUCUCCUCGGACGAUUCGAUGGUCCAUUCAUGAAGCAGAUGCAAAAGAACGAUCAUGUAAGUGCUGAAUUCAAACAGUCCAAAAUCUACAAGACAGUUCUCGACCAUGAUAUCAUUCACCAUCGUUCGGGAGUGCCUUUGACUUCUUUGCCCACUCAUCAGGAAUCCUUGAAAGGAGGCAAUGACACCAUAUGGGAAGAAAUCAAAGACCGAAUGCUUGAUCCAAGAAUAGCUCCUCUUUUCCGGAAGGAUUUUAAAGGUAUGAUUAAUAAUUUGUGACAUGUUGUAGUUCCGACUAAUUUCACAAAACAGUUAAUUUCAGAAAACAUCAUGACCGGUGAAGCACACGAAAUUUGCAAAAGUAAUUCCUUUGUUUAAAAAGGGUGAUAAAUUAGAUGUUAAUAAUUACCGCCCAAUUUCUUUGUUAUCUACUUUGUCGAAAAUACUUGAAAAGAUUAUUUAUAAAAGAACUUUUAAUUCAUCAUCUCUGUCAAGUCAUCAUUAUUACUUUAAAGACUUUAUGAGAUGCUAAGUUUAGUUCCUCUUGAACCUGUAAUUGCGAUUUGAUUUAUGUAGUAUAUUUAUCAUAAAAUCGACAAGUAAAUCAUUGAAAUGAUAUAUAAAGUAAUAGUGAGUCAGUAAGUACAUCGAUCGACUGUCUCAUUUGCAUAUCACUGUUAUGUGCGUGUUAUGUAAAAUACAAACAACUUUCAGUCAUAACUUUCUUAGAUUACAUUCGAUGUUAAUAAUUUGUCAAUGUUAUUUUUCAUGCUGGUUGCUAUAUUUCUCUUUUUAUCUGAAUCAACUUUUCAUUAUGUUGCCAAAAUAUUUCGAUAUGAUUGUAGGCCUAUAUACUGAAUAAUAUAUAAAGAUCUAGUUGAAAGAUUAUACUUUCAGUUGCAUUAGAUGUUAAAUGUUUCGCAAAAAUCAAUUUGCCACAUAUAGGUUUGCCUGCCGCGUUCAUUGCUACUGCAGAUCUGGACAGCCUUCGGGAUGAUGGAAUCUUCUACGCCAGACUUCUGGUUGAUGCUGGAGUGAAGGUGGAUUUGAAGAACUACAUUGGGGCUUACCACGGCAUCGUAUCUGCUGGUCCCAUCCCAAAUAUACCGACCGGUGUAAAAAUUGUGAAUGAUGCCAUUCAAUUUAUUAGAGAUAAUGUAUGAAUAUCCUCAUUGCAGAAAUGUAUGAUGUAAUGUAUUCCACAUUAAAUCCAACGAAAAAUUCAAAUUUCCAUUGCAUAUCUUGAAGAAUACUCUAUUUUGGCAUUUGCUAUAUGAAUUCAACCAUGUUAAGAUUAGUUUUACAAACCAUUGGAUUGCUGUGGACUUACGUAGAGAAUGAUAACGUCUGAUUGUGUGACUCAGAUUCGAACCAAGGUGAUUAGAGUACAACCAGGGGCGAAUGGGGGGGGGGGGGAUUCGGCCACCGUCUUUCCCCUCUUUUAAUCAUAUUACGUUACCCCAUGGAAGAACAGGGCUGUUUAGCAUAGCUCUGAAAUUGGCUACACAACCGUAUCAUUUUAUUAUUAUUGUUGUUAUGUUAUAAAACAAGCAAGGCAAAAUUUCUAUUUUAGUGGAAUGUAUUAUGCCUAGGAAUGAGAACCUUUUUUUUGCUUGCCAAAUUGUCCAUUGAAAAUGUCAUUGAUGUGAUAGUGAAGGCCCUUUUUUCUGUUGUAAAAAAUUUGGAGAAACUGCCCCCUCCCCCUUGAAAAUCCUGGAUCUGUCCCUGAAUAUAUAACCACAAGUCUUUAAACUUUAGUUAGAUUGGUCACUGCCCUUGAUCAAAAUAAUAAGAAAUUAUGUUAACUCAAGACAAAUAUCCAUGGCCUUGUUGCCAUCAUUUCAUAAAUUUCAAAGAUAUGUAACGAUGUCGUGUUUGUGGUUAAAAGUACUAAAAUAUUAAUUGAAAUGAAUGGAAAUAAGUACAGGCUAGAUGAAAAUUUUGACAAUACUGAAAUUAUUUGCAACCUCUUUACAAGAUAUAAUUUGGUUCCUUGUUUUUCAAAAUACGGCGUGAUUCAACAAAUGCACUUAUAAUUAUCAUCUGUUUAAAGAUGGUGAUUAGUUUUGUAAUUAUUUUUGUGUAUUUUAUUAGAUAGAGUACUUCUCCCUCUUUCAAAAACAUUGAUACGAAAUUUGAAAUUGUUGGCAACUUGGCAUCCUAUUCACGGUUCUGGAAUUAAUGAUUUUUAGUCCACCUUGCAAAAAGUGUAAAAUACAGUUGUAAACCUCUGUGCCACGUAUCUAAUUUAUCUCUUUCGAGGGAAUCUUUCCAGAUAUUGCUCAGGUAACACCCGGUGAUAAAUGUGUAUUAUAUUAUCAAUUAUUACCGACCUAUAUCUGUUCUCUCAAACAUUGCAUUGCCUGAUUUCGAGCUGUUUCAUAAUGACCGCGGAUUUUUUAAAAUUAUUUAUUACAAAUCAGACAAGGCAUUAUUGAAGCUAAUGCAAUUGAAAUCACAUGGUACGUCCAAAGUUUACCCCACGGCAGAGACUGUGUUCCUUGUAACCGGAACUGAGAGGGCACGCAGUGUCACUGAGGUCUUGCGAAACUUUGGUCGAUUCCCCAGCACACGCUGGCCAACCUGUCCUGCUGUCUGUCUGUACAUAUAAGGAAGUACGACAGCAGCAACAAGUGACAACCUAAACAUGCGACGAUCUGGUCGUCGAAUAACAAUGUGGACACCAGAGAAGCCGUUCCGGAGAUACUGCAGUAACCAUCGGAAGAGGGCAACGAGAGAUUGACAUCGCGUCGGAAUGGAUUGGACUUUUCACAGAGUUCGCUUAAUCGAAUAUCCCGUAUUGUGCAGCAGCUCCAAAUCAGUCGAUGCAUUGAUUGGAGUUGGUGCAAAUGAGUCUUCAUCCAGUCAGCUUAACUUACUCCUGUUAAGUCAACCGUGAAUAGGAUCACAACAAAUUUGGCAUCAAAUGAAACAGAAAGAAGUACGCACACUGUAAUAUAAUCACAAAUGGAAGCACAUUUCACACUUACUUAAUCUCUAGCAAAGUUCAGUUGUAAAUGAUUUUCCCCAAAAAACUCUAUAUCUUCCAAAGGCCUUUCAAAAAUGAAGGCUAUCCUCUGUUUCACAGGCAAACAGUGGGGCUGUAUAUAGACGGAAAAGUUCUGUGCGAGUCCGAAUGAGGGCAGAGAAAACAAUCCUAGCAGAUGAUUUCUGCAGUCUCUGAAUUUGGUCUAAGUCCUUCUGGCCAAGAACACUAGAGAGACUAUUGCAAGGAGUCUAGUCUGGAAAGAACAAGAGCCCUGACAGCAGCACGGCAUGUUUGCUUAUGAAACUUCUCACCCUCUAGAGGUUACGAACGUGAUACUUGACGUUUCUGCAGACCAAGGUGACGUGAAGGCACAAUGUUAUUCCGAGAUUGCGAAUACAUGGCUCUAAAUAUUUAUCAUUGAUUGUCAGUCUAACAUCAUCGAUUCGGACAUAAAUUAUGAUGGAUCAUGUGGAGAAGCAGAGGCAGGAUUUCAGUGAUAUAGCAGAUGAGUUUCUGAACAGCAGAAUUAACCCGUUGUAUACCCCAGGGUAGUGUUCUCGGCCCCAUUUUGUUUUUAAUGUAUGUUAAUGAUCUCCCAGAUUCAGUGCAGACUUCAGCCAAACAGUGUUUUCUGACGAUUAAGUUGUAUGUUCGUUCUGAUGUUCCAGGGGCCACCGGUAAAUUGCAAGAUGAUUUGACUGAGAAUGAGGCCUGGGCUGAGAAGUGGCAACUACGUUUUCACACAGAUAAAUGUACUGUUUUGAAGAUUGGAAGAAGUAGUUCUGACUCUGAUAUGACCAAAGGUUCGCAAUCGGUUGUUCUACGUAAAUGUGAAAGUGAGAGAGAUUUAGGAGUUCAGGUAGACUCACGUCUUUCUAUCAAGGAGAACAUUUCUAAAGUGGAGUCAAAGUCUAAUAGACUGCUUGGUAUUAUAAGAAGAACUUUCGUACAUUUCAAUAAGACCUCUAUUAAGCUUUUGUUUAAGAGUAUUAUUCGCCCUAUCUUAGAGUAUGGCCAGGCUGUGUGGUCACCGUAUAUAAGCUGGGUGAGCACAUACGGUUAGAGAGUGUCCAACGUAGAGCUACUAAAUUGAUCACAGGUAUUAAGCACCAAUCAUACUCUGAACGUCUUCGCCUCCUGAAAUUGCCAUCACUCAGUCACAGACGUAAAAGAGGUGACAUGAUUGACGUGUACAAAUAUCUGCAUGGUUACUAUGAUUCAAGUUCUGAGCUUUUCUAUCUGAGACGUGGUGGUAGAACACGUGGUCAUUCCUUAAAGCUAGAGAAAAGAUAUUCACGUCUUGAUGUGCGUAAGUUUUUCUUUGCUAACCGAGUGAUAGGUGUGUGGAACAGUCUCACAGAAGAUAUAGUUACUGCUUGUUCAGUGAUUGCAUUUAAGAAUAGACUGGAUAAGCAUUGGGAGAGGAUUGCCUAUGACUUUGAGUAAUUUUUGUUUCUUGUGUGUUUCCAUGGAAUUUUUCACUGUCUACGAUACCCCUGCCACCCCUCCAUGCCAACAUAAGUAGCGCAUCAAAUUUUGUCUGAAGGAGAGCAGCAAGACAUUUCUACUUUGAUCGAUGAACAGGCUUAGUCCUACAACAUCGUUGGAGUAAACUAAACUAAACUAUUUGACUUAUAUUUCUAGUUUACUUGUAAAACAUUCAUAAAAUCAUGGACUUACAGCAUGAUAAAAUCAGUCGUCAAGCUGCAAUCGUAUGUUUUUAAAUAAAUCGUGAAUCUUGUAUAAAAAAAAUUAUGUAAAUCUAUUUUUAUACAUUAUUUCUUCUUGUCAGGUUACAAUGUAUUGAUACAGCUAGAGUUUGAUAGGAUCACAACAUCGAACGGGUUUUCUUAAUUCAGCAUUUUAUCACGAAUGAAUUCACUAUAUCAGAAGUAAUUGAAACAAUGUUGUUUGAUGUUCUUAUUUCAUGUCCGUUUACUUCUUGUUUCGACGGGCUUUCAAUCCUUGAUUUUUUUAUUUUUACCCAAAUUGUAUGUCAUAUUGCUGAGAACAUAUACCUUAAUUCCUUCAUCAACUGCACAUAUAAUUCAUAUUUCUGUACGAACCGUGUGACUUUGUAGGCCUAUACGUGUAUACGUUAGCAGUUCAAGCAUCGUGUUGCUUCUUGCCAUCAUUCUGCAUCUUUGUGUUGGUUAAAUGUACUAAAUGUGUUAAAUGGAAAUAAAUGAAAAUACGUACAGUGUGA